GACGGAGGAUGCAAGUGUUAUCCGGAAUCACUGGCGUAAGACGUCUGUAGGUGGUUAAAAGUCGUUAAACUGUUGAAUGAGCUUGAAGCUUAACUUCAAAAAAUGCCGUAGAAACUUUUAAACUUGAGUAUGGUAGGGGUAGAGGGAAUUUCCAGUGGAGCGGUAAAAUGCGUAGAUCUUGGAAAGACCACCAAUGGCGAAGGCACUCUACUGGGCCAUUACUGACACUAAGAGACGAAAGCUAGGGGAGCAAAAUGGG
rnacentral:rRNA from 1 species